rnacentral:misc_RNA from 1 species
CAAUCCACUGCCUUGACCCACUUGGCUACAUCCGCCCCGCGGCUAUUCAAAAAAAAUUGCGUGGAAGCAUAUAGAAAUGAUAAUUGAUAUAUAAAUAAAAUAGGAUCCUCCCAAUCCUAACCCAAACCAUAACACCCGAAUAUUUUUUCUUAUGCUAAAUAAAAAAAACUUGUGUAUGUUGUAUAUAUGUUGUAUAUAAGUAAAGAACCCCUUAACUAAAAAGGAGAAAUAACCAAGCUCUUGUUCUACCAACAAAGAUUUUGAGUAUUGCCCCUUUCCUUUCAAAACCUCGUAUACACUAAGAAGCAGCCCCAGACCCAAUACCAAUCUUAUCCAUUUAUAGAUGGAACUUC